UCAGGCCGCGAACGCGGCAGGCCAACAGCCGGUCAGCGUUGUUGGCUCCCUGCUUCCUUGGCGUCGUCAAGCCGGCACCGGGGCCCUGAUGUGCAGCGCUCGGGAAGCAGCGAGGUGGGCGGCUCAGUCGCAGCAGCAGGUACCUUAGGGACGAGAAAAAAUAUGUAAAAGGACGUCUUGCUACAAAAGGGGUUGUGCUCAUUCCAAGACAAUGCAUUUAGAAAUUUUACUCUUACGGUAGCUAUUUGAACCGUUGUAGAGAUUAAUAAAAAAUGUUUCUCUAAAAAGAGAAAAAAAAUCAAACUUUACUGGAAGCUGAAGUUUAGAUCUACCCUAUCCAGACUGUCUGCUUUUACUCCGGGGAUUGGUAUUGAUAUUUAUUUUCCCCAGAAAGCAGGUCGUGAUCUCACGGUUUUGUGAGUCAAGCCCCGCAUUGGGCCCUGCACUGGUAGCAUGAAGCCUGCUUGGGAUUCUCUGUCUCUGCUCUCUGCCCCUCCCCACUCAUGCUGUCUUUGUCUCUGUCAAAAAUAAACUUAAAAAAAAAACAAAAGGUCUGGGAGAGAGAGGAGUAUAUAGGUGGACUCUGAGUAGACAAGAAGUGUACAGAUGCCCUGCAGAGAGUAUCUACCCGGAAAGAGGCCCUAAAGAACAAGUAGGAAGAAUAACUUGCCAGUUGAUGGCCCCCAGAUGCUAUCAGCCCCCUCAGUACCAGCACAAUGGGUAUGUGAAUGGAGCAGCCAUGGUAGCAGGAAUGGGAGUAAUACAUGGAUCCAAGAACAUAGGCUCCACUCACAAAAGCUGAGGCCACUGCUGAAUGCCCAAACUACCAGCAAUUAAUCCAAUGCUGAGCCCCCCAAAUGGCAAUAUUCCUCAAGGAGAGCAACCAGGCUGGAUGACAAGUUGACUGCGUUGGAUACUCUCCAUCCUGGAAAAGGCAACAAUUUAUUUUGACUGAAAUUGCUACAUUCUGGGUGUUUGCUUUUUUCUCCCUGCAGGGUCUCAGCCAGCACCAGUAUCUUUUGAGUGUUACUGAAUGUGUGACCUAUUGACAUAGGAUCCCAUAUAACAGUGCAUCAGACCAAAGGACCCAUUGCACAGCAAAGGAGGCAUGACCGUGGCACGUGACCAUGGGAUCCACUGGCCUUAUCACAUUCUAUACCAUCCAGAUGCCAGCAUGAACAGAAGAAGUAGACUAAAGGCAUAGCUGAGGUCCCGGCACAGAGAUGAUACCAACUAAGGAUAGGGUACCACCUUCCAUGAUACCAUGUACACUCUGUCAACAGUCAGUAUGGUGCUAUGUCCCAAUAAGAACAGAUAGGUCCAGAAGCAAGUGGUGGAAGUAGGAGUGGCUUCACGUACCAUUAAGCCCAGUGAUCCCAUUGGGUAUUUCUCACUGCACCUGUGGACUUUGAGGGUUUUGAGGCCCUGGUUCCCAAAAUGGAAGUAUUUUCACCAGGGGCUAUAACAAAAAUCCUAUUCAACUUUAACCUUCAGGUGCCACCAGACACUUUGAGCUCCUUAUGCCAAGGGGCCAGCAGGCAAGGAGCAGGCGUCACCAUCCUAGCAGCAGUAAUUGACCCUGAUUAUCAGGAAGAGCCAGGGCUACAGUUACACAAUGGGAGCAAAGAGGAAGAUACUUUGUUAGCACCCAGACAGUCCAGCUGGCUGUGUCUUUGUUACACCAUUGCUCAAUGUUGAGAGUAAAUAGAGAAGUGCAGCAACUAUGGCCAGAAAAGAACACGGUGACUAGGCACUCAGCGUAAGUGCUUCCUGAGGGUGAGAAGCAUCGAAAAUGCAUAGAAGAGGAAGAUGAUGUUAUCUAGUUGGGGCCUCGAGACCAGCUGUUGUGGGAAAUGUGGCUUAUCCCAUGAACCAUCAGCUUCCUGCAGAAAAAUCAAGCUGCUCCCAAAACUUAUACAAAGAAGUGGAUAUGAGUAGUAAACAGAAGGAAUAGUGGACACCAUGAUAUGCCAUUGCAGGUCCACCUUCAUGACUGAAGAGCUUCUUGUUCCUAGGUACUUGGAGUGUUGUUGGCUGACAGCCCUCAGUUACCAGUCCUCUAGGAAUUGCCCUCACGUGAUGGAGCUUCCUCGCCCGAGGUAACACCUUCCUCUCUGGGGCAUGCGUCCAGUGACUUGCUGAAGCCAGCAUAUAAAGGCCUGGUCCCCCCACCCCAAUUCAGGACUACUCAAAAGGCCAUCAUCCCAGCUUCAGAACUCUGUGGGGUCAGGCCUUUGUGGAGAUGACUUUGCACCCCACUUUCUCCCUCUGACCAGGACUGCUUCCUUCCCUUCCUCCAUAGGUGUUGAACCAGAGAACACCCCCAGUACCACAUCACAUACUAAUCUUUAUCUCACAGUCUGCUGCCCAGGGAACCCAACUCUGUCCUCAAGAUCAAUAGAGUCUGUCUGUCCAGAGAACUGGUAUUGGGAGUCGGCUCAUGGACUCUCUUUGCCUAGAAAGUGCUAGGGGCCCUGAAUACUCCCCUCUCCAGAUGUCUUUCUCUGGUAUCCCUUAGCAGAUGCCCUUGCCCUCUGACCCAUCCCUCCUCGUGGCAGGUUCCUCAUGCAGACUCCAGGUCCUAGACUAGACAUCUCUCCCGGUUUGGGGAUCUGGCAGUUAGGAAGCACCAGUUUAUUGGUUUAGCAGCAUUUGUAAAAAUCACUUCUCAGGCACUCCCCAGAGAGUUAAAUGGGCCCACUCUAAAUUAAUUAGGAUUUGAUGCCCAUGCCUUGGUGCCUUUUCCCCAGUACUUGGAAAGUAAGUUGUCUAAGACUGAUGCAAACCCUGGGUUCCAACGGUCAGGCUAAGAGGCAGCAGUAAUUGCCUUCUCCUUGCUUCAAAAUGGUAUGUAACCCAAAGCUCUAUUCAUCUAUUAUUUAGAACGGAAAGUAUUUACAAUAUUUAUCCACUUAUUCAUCCAUCCGUAUGUGAGAUCUUUUCAUAGCAGGCAGUUUCCCCUAAUUCACAACCUAAAAACAAUUCAGGAAAACAUGUGUUCUUGUCAUCAAGGAUACAGCUUGAGCUGCCAGGCCAAAGCACUUCAGGUCAAGUCUUCCAGAACCAGAUCAAAAUCCCUUCGCAAAAGAGACAUCCCGGUCCUUAAACAAGAGAUUAGUAACAGCCUAGGGCUGCUUUGACCAUCUUCACCACCUUUGGGGAGAAAUUACCUGAGCCCAUGAGAACGGAGAGAGAGAGAGAAAUAGUGUCUUGACAUCAUCAUUUGAGUACUUGGAUCCCGCCAAGUCACUGUUUCAGUUAUGCAAACCAAUAAAUUCCAUUUAAUUAAGAUAGUUCUGUGUUAAGAGUUCUGUAUCUUGGAGCUGUAAGUAUUCUGACAAAACCUUUGCUUUCCAGGCCCUCACGGGCUGGGUCCCUCCACCUUAUUACUCUCCUCCUGUGGGUUAUCACUUCAAAACACUGACUCAUUGCUCCCCCCCCUCCCCCCCCGCAAAAGCCUGUCCCUUUCUUACCGUCACACCAUUGAUUACAUUAUUCUCAUGAGAACCUGCCCAU